AUUGAACGCUGGCGGCAGGCUUAACACAUGCAAGUCGAACGAGUGGCGGACGGGUGAGUAAUGCUUGGGCAUCUAGCUUAUGUAGGGGGAUAACUACGGGAACCUUUAGCUACUACUGCGUACCAUAGGAUGAGCCCAAGGGGGAUUAGGUAGUUGGUGAGGUAAAGGCUCACCAAGCCGACGAUCGCUAGCUGGUCUGAGAGGAUGACCGGCCACACUGGGACUGAGACACGGCCCAGACUCCUACGGGAGGCAGCAGUGGGGAAUAUUGCGCAAUGGGGGAAAGCUGACGCAGCCAGGCCGCGUGAAUGAAGAAGGCCUUCGGGUUGUAAAGUUCUUUCGGUAGCGAGGCGUUAACUACAGAAGAAGCAACGGCUAACUACGUGCCAGCAGCCGCGGUAAUAC
rnacentral:rRNA from 1 species